GACGAACGCUGGCGGCGUGCUUAACACAUGCGAGUCGAACGGCGAAGGGACCGGUUUUUGCUGGUUCUGGAUGAGUGGCGCACGGGUGAGUAACACGUGAGUAACCUGCCCCCUUCUUCUGGAUAACCGCAUGAAAGUGUGGCUAAUACGGGAUAUUCUGCGCCUGCUGCAUGGUGGGUGUGGGAAAGAUAUUGUUUCGGUGGGGGAUGGGCUCGCGGCCUAUCAGCUUGUUGGUGGGGUGAUGGCCUACCAAGGCGGUGACGGGUAGCCGGCCUGAGAGGGUGGACGGUCACACUGGGACUGAGACACGGCCCAGACUCCUACGGGAGGCAGCAGUGGGGAAUAUUGCACAAUGGGCGCAAGCCUGAUGCAGCGACGCCGCGUGAGGGAUGGAGGCCUUCGGGUUGUAAACCUCUUUCGCCAGUGAAGCAGGCCUGUCCCUUGUGUGGGUGGGUUGACGGUAGCUGGAUAAGAAGCGCCGGCUAACUACGUG
rnacentral:rRNA from 1 species